CCCGGGUGCGUCGCAGCCCCGGAACCAGGCGCCCGCCGGAGGGACCAACCAAACUCUUUCUGUAGUCCCCUCGCGGACGUUAUUUCUUACAGCUCUGAGCAAAAAUUCAAAAUGAAUCAAAACUUUCAACAACGGAUCUCUUGGUUCUGGCAUCGAUGAAAAACGCAGCGAAAUGCGAUAAGUAAUGUGAAUUGCAGAAUUCAGUGAAUCAUCGAAUCUUUGAACGCACCUUGCGCCCGCCAGUAUUCUGGCGGGCAUGCCUGUCCGAGCGUCAUUUCAACCCUCGAACCCCUCCGGGGGGUCGGCGUUGGGGAUCGGGAACCCCUAAGACGGGAUCCCGGCCCCGAAAUACAGUGGCGGUCUCGCCCCAGCCUCUCCUGCGCAGUAGUUUGCACAACUCGCACCGGGAGCGCGGCGCGUCCACGUCCGUAAAACACCCAACUUCUGAAAUGUUGACCUCGGAUCAGGUAGGAAUACCCGCUGAACUUAAGCAUAUCAAUAAGCGGAGGAAAAGAAACCAACAGGGAUUGCCCCAGUAACGGCGAGUGAAGCGGCAACAGCUCAAAUUUGAAAUCUGGCCCCUAGGGUCCGAUUUGUAAUUUGUAGAGGAUGCUUUUGGUGAGG
rnacentral:rRNA from 1 species